CACACACACACCCAUCAUCCAGCACACACACCCAUCAUCCAGCACUCACACACACCCAUCAUCCAGCACUCACACACAUCAAUCAUCCAGCACUCACACACAUCAAUCAUCCAGCACACACACACCAUCCAGCACACACACACACACCCAUCAUCCAGCACACACACACACACCCAUCAUCCAGCACACACACACACCCAUCAUCCAGCACUCACACACACCCAUCAUCCAGCGCGCGCACACACACA